ensembl:lncRNA
UUUAUAUCACAGCUGCUUAAAAAAAGAAAAAAAGAAGGAAGAAAGAAAAGAAGAAAAAGCUAAGAACUACUAUUCAUGACAAAAAGAGGAAGAAUUCUAAGGACACCUUCCUGCAGAAAAAGCAUUGGAGGGUUGGCCAAAGUUUUCCAGUCCCAAGACUUCUUCACCCUACAUGCUAGAGGGCUAAUGAUAAGGUACAGUUCUUGAAGAGCAACCUUUAGUCUUUGUCUCUCCACAAAGCCUGAUUUCAUACUCUACUACUGGCAAGAGGGAAUUCACCUACUUCCCAACAUUUUAAUGGUUUGUCAGUUAAAACUGAUAUAAACAAGCGUGAAUGUUAGUCUACAGGUGAUGAGCCAUGUGAAGGAAAAGAAAAUUACAUUUAUAAAGUAAAAAUUUAUAAACCAUUCAGCACAGUGAAAAAUGUAGUAAAACCUUAUCCUGCUUCCACAGAGCUCCACAGCAAAGUUCAGAAGUCUGUUGAAUCUGGGAAAUGCAUAAAGUGUCAAACGGCUCAUAUUAGUGUGUAACAACGCACUGUGCUAUAAGCACAGGAAGGCCUGGUCUCCUUUUCAAAGAGUUAGUACAAUUGUUAUAUAAUCAAUCAGGAAGUUAAAAAUGAUAUAGCCAUAAAAAUACUUGGAGAGGACUCAUAUAAAGUAUUCUACUGCCUUUGUUUCAUUUGCUUCAGAAAUGAGUACACGCAAAAUUCACCUCCACCCUCCAUUAAAUAUCUGCUUGGUUUCCAGUCUUUGGAGUUAAUGAACAACAGUAUUGCAUUUUUUAUGUGCCCAUCCAUAAUCAUAUUUACUAUAGGUAAGAUUUUAUGUCUUCAUCUUUGUAGAAGAUGGUGUUUACUUUUAUCAGGAAUAGUAAAACUGGUUUGGCUUUGUUCUGAAACCUCCACUGAUGACAUAAGCAUUUCUGUGGCCAGCGUUUCUACUUUAUUGCUGAAGUGGGGAAGGAACAGAAAGUUUCUGGCAUUUACAAACAUGCGGUCAAAGUAAUCUGAGGCAAGCAGAUUCAGAAUGGAUUUAAACUCACGGCUAUAAAAUUUGUGGUGUAUCAAACACACCAUGAGCAGGCAACAAGCAAAAUUCUGCACCCCAAGAAUGUGAGAUUCUUCAUACAGUCAAAGCUCUCUGAGGUACGGAGCCCUCCUGGCUGUUGUGUUAGCAUGAGGGUUGUAACCACUCUUAUUUUCAAAUCUCAAUCAGCUGAAAUUCAUCCCUGUUAUAGUUUUGGUCACUGGCUG